GCGGGAUUUAAUUUCGAGUAUGGCCAGUGAAGGUGAAACAAGGCUGAUAACCCUUUCAUUCAGAAGAAAUAUGUGUAUGCGUCAUUUCUGUGGAUUACAGGAUAAGGCAGUUUUUAAUAUGAAAAAAAGUGUUUUUUUUAGAGAAAAUGCAGCUUUUUGUUACACCCUUCUACCUGUCUGAUCCAAAAUCGGAUCAAAUUUUUCCAACAUCCCUGUUAGUUUUAAAAAAAAAUAUUGUCAGAUAAGAGGGGCGGGUCACCUGACCACCCUUUUCAG
rnacentral:lncRNA from 1 species